rnacentral:lncRNA from 1 species
GUGUGUGUGUUCGUGUUCGUGUGUGUGUUCGUGUUCGUGUGGUGUUCGAGAGUGUUGUUUUCUUUUGUAUUGGCUGAGGGUGGCAGAUUGCCGAAGGCGCUCCUGUAAUGGGGGUUGUUUUUAAAAAGAACGUAUUCUAUUGCUCGGUAGUGCUCCUGGUUCACAGUUUUAUAUUACUGGUUAAAUCCAGAAGGCUCCUUAAGAGGACAAAACAGUUAUGUUUGAGUGCAGCAAUUUCGGAUGCGAAAAGGGCCUUCCAUAUAUGUAAAGUACAACUGGGGAAUACAGAAACAGCUGUGUACAAACGGAGUUAUGGAACUUUGUUAGUUAGGUAGAUAUGUGCACAAAGACUAAAAGUCUUUGUGCAUGUAUCUACAUAACUAACAAAAUAACUUUAAAUUAAA